rnacentral:rRNA from 1 species
CCUACGGGAGGCAGCAGUAAGGAAUAUUGGUCAAUGGACGCAAGUCUGAACCAGCCAUGCCGCGUGAAGGAUUAAGGUCCUCUGGAUUGUAAACUUCUUUUAUCUGGGACGAAAAAAGGCUUUUCUAAGUCACUUGACGGUACCAGAUGAAUAAGCACCGGCUAACUCCGUGCCAGCAGCCGCGGUAAUACGGAGGGUGCAAGCGUUAUCCGGAUUCACUGGGUUUAAAGGGUGCGUAGGCGGGCAGUUAAGUCAGUGGUGAAAUCCUUGAGCUCAACUCGAGAACUGCCAUUGAUACUAUCUGUCUUGAAUAUUGCGGAGGUAAGCGGAAUAUGUCAUGUAGCGGUGAAAUGCUUAGAUAUGACAUAGAACACCUAUUGCGAAGGCAGCUUACUACGCAUAUAUUGACGCUGAGGCACGAAAGCGUGGGGAUCAAACAGGAUUAGAUACCCUGGUAGUCCACGCCCUAAACGAUGAUUACUCGACAUUUGUGAUACACUAUAAGUGUCUGAGCGAAAGCAUUAAGUAAUCCACCUGGGAAGUACGACCGCAAGGUUGAAACUCAAAUGAAUUGACGG